rnacentral:sRNA from 16 species
UCAACAAGUUUAAACGCAAACAACAAUGAUAAUGCAUUUCAAAAGAUGGUUUCCGCAUCUGUCGCUUCUGCUAUUUUGUGGGGAAG